UACGAAGGGGGCUAGCGUUGUUCGGAAUUACUGGGCGUAAAGCGCACGUAGGCGGAUUGUUAAGUCGGGGGUGAAAUCCCGGGGCUCAACCCCGGAACUGCCUUCGAUACUGGCAAUCUAGAGUCCGGAAGAGGUGAGUGGAAUUCCGAGUGUAGAGGUGAAAUUCAUAGAUAUUCGGAGGAACACCAGUGGCGAAGGCGGCUCACUGGUCCGGUACUGACGCUGAGGUGAGAAAGCGUGGGGAGCAAACAGG
rnacentral:rRNA from 1 species